CCUACGGGUGGCAGCAGUCGAGAAUCAUUGACAAUGGGGGAAACCCUGAUGGUGCGACGCCGCGUGGGGGAAUGAAGGUCUUCGGAUUGUAAACUCCUGUCAUGUGGGAGCAAAUUAAAAAGAUAGUACCACAAGAGGAAGAGACGGCUAACUCGGUGCCAGCAGCCGCGGUAAUACAGAGGUCUCAAGCGUUGGUCGGAUUCACUGGGCGUAAAGCGUGCGGAGGCCGUUUCGUAAGUCGUGUGUGAAAGGCGCGGGCUCAACCCGCGGACGGCACAUGAUACUGCGAGACUUGAGUAAGCGAGGGGGAGCCGGAAUUCGCGGUGUAGCAGUGAAAUGCGUAGAUAUCGCGAGGAACACUGGUUGCGAAGGCGGGUUCCUGGACAGGAACUGACGCUGAGGCACGAAGGCCAGGGUAGCGAAAGGGAUUAGAUACCCCUGUAGUC
rnacentral:rRNA from 1 species